rnacentral:rRNA from 1 species
GAUGAACGCUGGCGGCGUGCCUAAUACAUGCAAGUCGAGCGAACAGACGAGGAGCUUGCUCCUCUGACGUUAGCGGCGGACGGGUGAGUAACACGUGGAUAACCUACCUAUAAGACUGGGAUAACUUCGGGAAACCGGAGCUAAUACCGGAUCAUAUAUUGAACCGCAUGGUUCAAUAGUGAAAGACGGUUUUGCUGUCUCUUAUAGAUGGAUCCGCGCCGCAUUAGCUAGUUGGUAAGGUAACGGCUUACCAAGGCGACGAUGCGUAGCCGACCUGAGAGGGUGAUCGGCCACACUGGAACUGAGACACGGUCCAGACUCCUACGGGAGGCAGCAGUAGGGAAUCUUCCGCAAUGGGCGAAAGCCUGACGGAGCAACGCCGCGUGAGUGAUGAAGGUCUUCGGAUCGUAAAACUCUGUUAUUAGGGAAGAACAAAUGUGUAAGUAACUAUGCACGUCUUGACGGUACCUAAUCAGAAAGCCACGGCUAACUACGUG